ensembl:lncRNA
UAUUCACUGUCAGCAUUGUACGUUUUCACAUGGCCAGGGACUUCUAUCUAUCUAUCUAUCUAUCUAUCUAUCUAUCUAUCUAUCUAUCUAUCUAUCUAUCUAUCUAUCUAUCUAUCUAUCUAUGCGCUUGUACUGAGAACACAUAUGUAAUUACAAAUAUAUUUAAAUACAUGGCAUACAAGAUUCAAUAGAAAUUACAUUAAAGUAUGUUUUAGUUUAUCAUAAAUGUAUGUCAGUACAUUCAGCAGCACUUUAACCAUAUUUAAAAAAAAAUAGAAGUAAUGAUGAAAUUACAUAUAAAUAUGUAUUAAGUCCUACUUAAGUGGGUCAGUUAAGCUAACUGAAUUUAAUAUAAAUUUAAACUAUAAUGCAUUUUCAUUUAAUUGCCAUUAACUGCAAAAACAUUACAUUCAGUUCACACUUGAGUAGAUUAUUUUUGACACUUAUUGGCACCUCAGUUUGAUUCGGUGGAUUUUUGUGCAUGGAUAUGCACAUGAAUAUGUGGGAAACAGUAUUGUGUUCAGUGUAGUCGAGGUGCACACUGACAGUUCACACACUGUGCGCAUGACACUUACUGAAACAUAGCAUGAGUAGUGUGUUAGUGUGGUGUCUGACUGCCUGUGUCUCCUCAGACGGGUGAGAUGGGUCUCACUCAGAGCGUGGGCGAGGACGGGCUGAGGUUUGAGGUGUGGGUGAGACAUGCGUCCCGCACCAGGGACUGUCUCACUCUCCAGGCCUCCAGCGUGCAGGAGAGAGGAACCUGGACCCACGACAUCGCACAGCUGCUCUGGACUCACGCCAUCCACAACACAGAAUCUUGUCUUGGGGGCAGUUUUUGGAAAAGACCAAUUUGUGAUUAACAAUUAAUUAAUAAUGGGAAAUUAAUCCGUGUCAGUCAUUAAGGCAUUGAUUUUCCUUUGCACUUUUGUGUUUUCUUUAUGCAAAUGAGACUUUUAAAUGGCACCCAUUACUACCCAUUUUAUUCUGUUUUGUUAAUUAACCAUCAUGUUUUCUGGUGUUUCUAAACAGUGGACUCUCAAAGCACAUGGGAUAAAAGUCAUCUAUUGUAAAGAAAAAUUGCCCAGUACUCUUUUCAAGCACUUAUUUUCACAAAAUAAAGACGUGUGCUUGGUCUAAUAAUGUUGUUGA